UACGUAGGGUGCGAGCGUUAAUCGGAAUUACUGGGCGUAAAGCGUGCGCAGGCGGUUAUAUAAGACAGAUGUGAAAUCCCCGGGCUCAACCUGGGACCUGCAUUUGUGACUGUAUAGCUAGAGUGCGGCAGAGGGGGAUGGAAUUCCGCGUGUAGCAGUGAAAUGCGUAGAUAUGCGGAGGAACACCGAUGGCGAAGGCAAUCCCCUGGGCCUGCACUGACGCUCAUGCACGAAAGCGUGGGAGCAAACAGG
rnacentral:rRNA from 1 species